GAUGAACGCUGGCGGCAUGCUUUACACAUGCAGGUCGAACGGUAACAGGUUAAGCUGACGAGUGGCGAACGGGUGAGUAAUGCAUCGGAACGUGCCCGGUCGUGGGGGAUAACGCAGCGAAAGCUGCGCUAAUACCGCAUACGAUCUGAGGAUGAAAGCGGGGGACCGUAAGGCCUCGCGCGAUCGGAGCGGCCGAUGUCAGAUUAGGUAGUUGGUGGGGUAAAGGCUCACCAAGCCGACGAUCUGUAGCUGGUCUGAGAGGACGACCAGCCACACUGGGACUGAGACACGGCCCAGACUCCUACGGGAGGCAGCAGUGGGGAAUUUUGGACAAUGGGCGCAAGCCUGAUCCAGCAAUGCCGCGUGCAGGAAGAAGGCCUUCGGGUUGUAAACUGCUUUUGUACGGAGCGAAAAGGCUCUCUCUAAUACAGGGGGCUCAUGACGGUACCGUAAGGAUAAGCACCGGCUAACUACGUGCCAGCAGCCGCCGUAA
rnacentral:rRNA from 1 species